UACGUAGGCAGCAAACGUUGUUCGGAAUUACUGGGCGUAAAGAGUGUGUAGGCGGUUCUGUAAGUUUGGUGUGAAAUCUCCCGGCUUAACUGGGAGGGUGCGCCGAAAACUGCAAGGCUUGAGUGCUGGAGAGGAUAGCGGAAUUCCUGGUGUAGCGGUGAAAUGCGUAGAUAUCAGGAGGAACACCGGCGGUGUAGACGGCUAUCUGGACAGCAACUGACGCUGAGGAGCGAAAGCAUGGGGAGCAAACAGG
rnacentral:rRNA from 1 species